rnacentral:rRNA from 1 species
GUGGGGAAUCUUCCGCAAUGGACGAAAGUCUGACGGAGCAACGCCGCGUGAGUGAAGAAGGUUUUCGGAUCGUAAAGCUCUUUCGUUAGGGACGAACGUGCUCUUUGUGAAUAAUGAGGAGUAAUGACGGUACCUAAAUAAGAAGCCACGGCUAACUACGUGCCAGCAGCCGCGGUAAUACGUAGGUGGCAAGCGUUGUCCGGAAUUAUUGGGCGUAAAGCGCGCGCAGGCGGGAUAUCAAGUCUGUCUUAAAAGUGCGAGGCUAAACCUCGUGAGGGGACAGAAACUGGUAUUCUUGAGUGUCGGAGAGGAAAGUGGAAUUCCAAGUGUAGCGGUGAAAUGCGUAGAGAUUUGGAAGAACACCAGUGGCGAAGGCGACUUUCUGGACGAUGUCUGACGCUGAGGCGCGAAAGCUAGGGGAGCGAACGGGAUUAGAUACCCUAGUAGUCC